rnacentral:rRNA from 1 species
GACGAACCGUGCAAACGUUGUUCGGAAUCACUGGGCUUAAAGGGCGCGUAGGCGGGCCCGCCAGUCUGUGGUGAAAGCCCCCGGCUUAACCGGGGAAGUGCCAUGGAUACUGCGGGCCUCGAGGAGGGUAGGGGCAUCUGGAACAGCCGGUGGAGCGGUGAAAUGCGUUGAUAUCGGCUGGAACUCCGGUGGCGAAGGCGAGGUGCUGGACCCUUUCUGACGCUGAGGCGCGAAAGCCAGGGGAGCAAACGGG